rnacentral:piRNA from 1 species
UAGAAAAGCAAGUGACGAGUGCCAACCGA